rnacentral:rRNA from 1 species
UGAUGUGCUGGGCUCUGAUGCGCAGGAUAGGUGGGAGACUUUGAUCCAUUGCUUGCGGGUGAUGGUGAGCCACUGGUGAGAUACCACUCUUUCCGAGCUAGGGUUCUAACCCUCACCCGUUAUCCGGGGAGGGGACAGUAUCAGGUGGGCAGUUUGACUGGGGCGGUCGCCUCCUAAAAGGUAACGGAGGCGUGCAAAGGUUCCCUCAGGCUGGUUGGAAAUCAGCCGACGAGUGCAAAGGCAGAAGGGAGCUUGACUGUGAGACCUACAAGUCGAACAGGGACGAAAGUCGGCCUUAGUGAUCCGACGGUUCUGAGUGGAAGGGCCGUCGCUCAACGGAUAAAAGUUACUCUAGGGAAACCAGGCUGA